UGGGGAAUCUUGCGCAAUGGGCGAAAGCCUGACGCAGCCAUGCCGCGUGAAUGAUGAAGGUCUUAGGAUUGUAAAAUUCUUUCACCGGGGACGAUAAUGACGGUACCCGGAGAAGAAGCCCCGGCUAACUUCGUGCCAGCAGCCGCGGUAAUACGAAGGGGGCUAGCGUUGCUCGGAAUUACUGGGCGUAAAGGGCGCGUAGGCGGAUCGUUAAGUCAGAGGUGAAAUCCCGGAGCUCAACUUCGGAACUGCCCUUGAUACUGGCGAUCUUGAGUAUGAGAGAGGUAUGUGGAACUCCGAGUGUAGAGGUGAAAUUCGUAGAUAUUCGGAAGAACACCAGUGGCGAAGGCGACAUACUGGCUCAUUACUGACGCUGAGGCGCGAAAGCGUGGGGAGCAAACA
rnacentral:rRNA from 1 species